rnacentral:tRNA from 1 species
GGAAGGUUGGCAGAGUGGCAAUGCUCCGGUCUCGAAAGCCGGUGGCCCGUUAACGGGACGCAGGUUCGAUUCCUGUACCUUCCG